rnacentral:rRNA from 1 species
UACAAGUCUGUUGGAAUACAGCGUCAUAGUGGUGAGAACCCCGUAACUGAUGCGGAUGCCCGGUGCUUUGUGAUAUACUUUCGAAGAGUCGAGUUGUUUGGGAAUGCAGCUCAAAUUGGGUGGUAAAUUCCAUCUAAAGCUAAAUAUUGGAGCAAGACCGAUAGCGAACAAGUACCGUGAGGGAAAGAUGAAAAGCACUUUGGAAAGAGAGUUAACAGUACGUGAAAUUGUUGGAAGGGAAACGCUUGAAGUCAGACUUGCUAUUCGGAGUUCAGCCGCAAGGUGUAUUCUUCGAUUUGCAGGCCAGCAUCAGUUUUUGGGGGUGGAAAAUCGUGGUUUGAAGGUAGCAGUUUCGGCUGUGUUAUAGCUUUCCACUGGAUUCAUCUUCGGGGACUGAGGAACGCAGUACGCUUUU